AUAUAUAUAUAUAUAUAUAUAUAUAUACGUAGUAAAAAAAAAGCGUAAUAUAUAUUGACCAUUGCACUUAAUUACAAUUCUAAAUGUCCCACAUAUGUAUGGCACAAAUGUUACAAAUAAAUUACAAUUUACUUUUAUUUACAAUACCACUGUAGCCAUUGGCACUGUGUGGAGCAGCGGUGGGCCCCACCGCCCUGCCCGCCGGCCAGGCAGGCAGGAGUCCGCCCCCCUCCCUGCCUCCCCAGCCACCAGCAGCAACCUGUGGACUGUGGCCAACAACCACAACUCUCCUUCAGAUAUUCAAAUUCUUUGUUAUCAUGAUUUUUUAAUGGAAAUAGAGCAUGACGUGGCAGUUGCUGGCAGUAGGGGCUGGGGAUGGUGAGGAAGCAGAGACUAUUAACUCGUAAUCUAUUGACACUGGCACACAGCUCCGUCACUGCCAACACCACGCCACCGCAGUAAAUACCCAUGUGUGACUGGAUGACUGUUAAGCUUCAGAAUAAACCAUGCUAACCAAGACUUGGUUGUCAACUUCCCUGAUUCUGAUAACAACGGUUUGUGUAGUGCAGUCUGGGACUUGUGAGACAGUGAAGAGCUGAACACUGAGAACUAUGCUGCCUCCUGGAGCCCAGGGUGGAGGGCGGGGCGGGGGGAGGGCCGCAAAGGGCAUCCCUGAGUGACGAAGAGGAAUGGAAUCAUAGGGUGUGGGGUGAAGUAUGGCUGGUGGACAGGGUGUGUGGGGUGAGGCAUGGCUGGUGGACAGGGUGUGUGGGGUGAGGCAUGGAUGGUGGACAGGGUGUGUGGGGUGAAGUAUGACUGGUGGACAGGGUGUGUGGGGUGAAGUAUGACUGGUGGACAGGGUGUGUGGGGUGAGGCAUGGCUGGUGGACAGGGUGUGUGGGGUGAAGUAUGACUGGUGGACAGGGUGUGUGGGGUGAAGUAUGACUGGUGGACAGGGUGUGUGGGGUGAAGUAUGACUGGUGGACAGGGUGUGUGGGGUGAAGUAUGACUGGUGGACAGGGUGUGUGGGGUGAAGUAUGACUGGUGGACAGGGUGUGUGGGGUGAAGUAUGACUGGUGGACAGGGUGUGUGGGGUGAGGCAUGGCUGGUGGACAGGGUGUGUGGGGUGAAGCAUGGCUGGUGGACAGGGUGUGGGGUGAAGUAUGGCUGGUGGACAGGGUGUGUGGGGUGAAGUAUGACUGGUGGACAGGGUGUGUGGGGUGAGGCAUGGCUGGUGGACAGGGUGUGUGGGGUGAAGUAUGACUGGUGGACAGGGUGUGUGGGGUGAGGCAUGGCUGGUGGACAGGGUGUGUGGGGUGAGGCAUGGCUGGUGGACAGGGUGUGGGGUGAAGUAUGACUGGUGGACAGGGUGUGUGGGGUGAAGUAUGACUGGUGGACAGGGUGUGUGGGGUGAAGUAUGACUGGUGGACAGGGUGUGUGGGGUGAAGCAUUGCUGGUGGACAGGGUGUGUGGAGUGAGGCAUGGUGUGGGAAUGCAUGAUGUGUGGGGUGAUGCAUGGCUAGGGGGGUGUGGUGAUGAUGAGUGUAGGGUG